GUUAUAGAGUUCUAAACUUAGGGUCGCAAUUAGUUGGUGUUUUCAUUUCCAAAAAUUAAGGUUUACGUGGUAUGUAUACAAGGCUUUGGUUCUACAUAUAAUUUUCGCAAUCAAGCUAGGAUCUCCACAUUCGAGAUUAAGGUUCUAAAACUUAGAGAGCCGGUGGCAAGUGAGACCUUGGAGGCUUGUGUGUGUACUCGCUGAGGACCAUAUAACUGAGGGUGGUCUAGGGCACGCUCCAAUUAUUUUAUUUAGUGUUAUUAAAUUAAUGUCGCACUUAUUUUUAUUUAUUAAUUAUUAUGUCUUUUAAGUCCAAACUGAGCUCAAAUAUGAAAUAUUUUAUAUUUAUAAAUAAAAGCGACAUUAUAGAUUUUCCGCAUUUUAACGCUUGUAACUAAAUUAGUAAUUUAUGAAAAGUACGGGCGUU